rnacentral:rRNA from 1 species
UACGUAGGGGGCUAGCGUUGUCCGGAUUUAUUGGGCGUAAAGAGCGUGUAGGCGGCUUGAUAGGUCUGCUGUGAAAACUCGGGGCUCAACCCCGAGACGUCGGUGGAAACCAUCUGGCUAGAGUCCGGAAGAGGAGAGUGGAAUUCCCGGUGUAGCGGUGAAAUGCGCAGAUAUCGGGAAGAACACCCGUGGCGAAGGCGGCUCUCUGGGACGGUACUGACGCUGAGACGCGAAAGCGUGGGGAGCGAACAGG